rnacentral:sRNA from 1 species
AGCUUCUCCUGGCCCCCUCCCUGUGUCUGUUCCUGUCCCCGAGCCUCUGGCCUCUGAUGCCUUCAGGAGCUUGGGCCUCUCCUGCUCCACUCCUAAACUUCAGCUUCUCAGCAAACAGGCCUCCCAAGUCCCUGCUUCUCCCUCUCAGGCCUUGCUAACCUCACCAGCUCUAGGGCCUGGCCAGGCCUCCCAGGCUCCCUCCUCCACCCCCACCCCUUCUCACUCAUGGAGCCCCUGGGACUGGUCGUGCAUGGGAAAGCUGAACCUUUUUCCGCAGCACUCCGAAGCCUUGUCAACAACCCGCGAUACAGGUGGCCGUAACCUUUGGCCUGGGGCAGCUGCAGGAGCGCUGCGUGGCUUUCAUAGAGGCCCACAGCCAGGUACUGCUCCCUUCAUACUCCUCACCCUACGCACCGCAUUCUGCUCCUCCCUGACCCAUUUGCCGGCUCGCAGGAGGCCCUCCGGACCCGAGGCUUCCUGGAGCUGUCGGCGGCGGCGCUGCUGCCCCUGCUCCGCAGCGACAAGCUCUGCGUGGACGAGGCGGAACUGGUCCGCGCGGCCCGAAGCUGGGCGCGCGUGGGCGCGGCGGUGCUGGAGCGGCCGGUGGCUGAGGUGGCGGCCCCGGUGGUGAAAGAGCUGAGACUAGCCUUGCUGGCCCCGGCGGAGCUGAGCGCCCUGGAAGAGCAGAACCGGCAGGAACCACUCAUCCCGGUGGAGCAGAUUGUGGAGGCGUGGAAAUGCCAUGCCCUGCGGAGAGGGGAUGAGGCCCGGGGCGCCCCGUGUCGCCGCCGGAGAGGCACCCUGCCCCGGGAGCAUCACCGCUCUCUGGACCUGUCCUUCAAAUGAUCCAACGCCAGGACUCGCAGGGAGCCCUCGACCCGCCCAGCUGAGCCUGCCCCAAACUACAGCUCCCGAAGUGCUCGGCGUUCGGAGCGGGCUUCCGUUCCCAGCGUGCCCAGUGAGCCGGGCGCCGGAAGAACCAUUGUCUGCCACGCGCAGCCCCUUCUUGUGCGGGAUCAAGCUCGUGUGGGCGAGGUGGGGUCGGGCCGGGCAGGGCUUGGGCUGGGCCUCCCUGAGGGGGUGAAACUCGAAAACGAGGAUUUCCUUCGCUCCACACCCUCACUCUACGCCCUGCCCCUGGGCAUUGUCGUCUGCUAGUCUAUUCUGAUGACUCCCACAUAUCUAUCUGUUCAGCUCAGCUCCCUCUUUCUUUUCUUUUUUUCUUUCUUUCUUUCUUUCUUUUUCUUUUUCUUUUUCUUUCUUUCUUUCUCCUUCCUUCCUUCUUUCUUUCUUUCUCUUUCUCUCUCUCUUUCUUUCUUUCUCUCCUCUCUCUCUCUUUUUUUUGAGACGGAGUCUCGCACUCUCGCCCAGGCCAGAGGGCAGUGGUGCCAUCUCGGCUCACUGCAAGCUCCGCCUCCCGGGUUCACGCCGUUCUCCUGCCUCAGCCUCCGGAGUAGCUGGUACUACAGGCGCCCAUCACCACGCCCGGCUAAUUUUUUUGAAUUUUUAGUAGAGACGGAGUUUCACCGUAUUAGCCAGGAUGGUCUCGAUCUCCUGACCUUGUGAUCCGCCCGCCUUGGCCUUUUUUUUUUUUUUUUUUUUUUUGAGACAGAGUCUUGCUCUGUUGUCGAGGCUGGAGUGUAGUGGUGUGAUUUCGGCUCACUUCAAACUCCGUCUCCCGGGUUCAAGCGAUUCUCGUGCCUCAGCCUCCUGAGUAGCUGGGAUUACAGACAUGCACCACAACGCCCGGCUAAUUGUUGUAUUUUUAGUAGAGACGGGGGUUUCACCAUGUUGGCCAGGUUGGUCUCGAACUCCUGACUUCAUGUGAUCUGCCAGCCUCGGCCUCCCAAAGUGCUGGGAUUACAGGUGUGAGCCACCAUGCCCGGCCUCAGCUCCUUCUUUCAUUCCAGACCUGCCCCCCUGGAGAUCGCUCCCUGAAUGCCCCUCAGACACCACAGGCUCGGCGAGAAAUUGAUCUCCCCAGCUUUUCCCCAGCUCUGCCCCCAUCGUGUUUCUCAUUUCCGUGGGCACCCACGCCAGAAACCUGGAUCUCAUCCUUGCCUUAUCCCUCUUCACACCUGCCUUAGGUCUCUUUUUACCUUGUAAGAGACCUUAAGAGACCUUUCCAGUUGGUUCAGUUCUCUCAGCCCCAGGUUCAACCUGUCCUGUCUGACACGUCUCACAGCCUUCCUGCCUUCACUCCAGCGCCCCCUCAAUCCAUUUCCCACAGUGCAGCCAGACCUGUCUUUGAUUGUCAGUCCUAUGGGGCUUAAGUCCUGGAACAUCCCAUUGACCUCCAGGACAAAAUUCAAUCUAUUUCACUUUCAGGGCACUCAAAACUACUAGUGAGUGGUUCCUCACCUCUUCUCUCAAAUACAAUCUUUGUAUAAAUUCAUUUAUCCUGGAGGUAUUAGUCCUCUAGCUCCAUACUUACUCAGUUACUGCAGACCCCUCUGCUACCUCCUUCAUUCACUAUACAUCUUGUUUUCCCGAGGAUGUGAAUCUCCCUCAAGAAAGAUCCCUGGGGCCUGGAGUGGUGUCUUACUCGUUUCUGCUUCCUCAGUCUCUGUCAGAUAAUCAGUGCUAUGUAAAUGUUAAGUAAAUGACUUUAUUUAUUUA